GAGCGUAUAGCUCAGUGGUAGAGCGUGUGCUUAGCAUGCGUGAAGUCCUGGGUUCAGUUCCCAGUCCCUCCA
rnacentral:tRNA from 1 species